CUCUUCAAACCCUAACAUCUUAUCUCUACAUUACCAUUUCCUCAAUCCUUCCUUUUCCCUCUCUCUCCCUCUCCUUCUCAACCCAAACACAAACCCUCCUCUCCUAACAUCCUCACUGUCCGCAUGUCCUGGGAUGGCGCUCUCUCCUCCGUCCGAUUGAUAGUCGAAGGAAAAAAUCUCGAGGUAAAUUCUCUCUUUCUUCAGAAAACUCAGGUAAAAAUCUCACCUGAAAUUCAUUGCCAUUUUCUCGAUAAUUACAGCUCACGAAAGCAGUGAAACACCAGAUUUACUGUUCUUUGAUUGUGUCUUCAAUCGGACCGAUUUCCACCACGAUUUUUCCGAUCCACAUGAAUAUUUUUUCCAUUGAUCAUGACCUUUUAUCUGCCAUAUUCUCCAUCUAACUACAAAUUGCUGAAUCCCGUUCAUGAAAACGGUGGACGUGUUUGGUUCGUAGAUGGCCCUGCUGAUGUGGCAUGAUUUCUUGGAGCAAAUGUGGCAUCUUGCAAGAAUCCAUCCUCUAGCAGAAUAUCUCCCAGACGAGCGAUCAGGGAAGCCUUCGAACCUUCCUACAUUGGAUGUACAAUGAGGCAAUCUCAUAUUAUAAGAAGGCACUUACCCUUUCGACUAGAAGUUUGAGCACCUAUGCAGGUCUGGCGUACACUCAUCAUUUGCAGGUAAUAAUACUCUUUAAGCCUUGGUUUGAUAUCUACUAAUUUCACAUGCGCAAUUGAGGUUACAAAAGAAGCUUAAUUGGUUUGAUAUUAUCCUUCAAGGUUAGGUUGCAAGACUGCCAAUUCCUUUUGGACUUCCAAGUAAUCAAGACACAAGAACAGAACACAGUUCUGUUAGGGUUUCUGAUACUGAAUAUUUCUUGCUCAUUCUGCUUAUGGAAUACUAAUCUCAUCUUGUCUGUCUCAUGAACAAACCUCAUCAAAAUUUGAACCCACGAUGUUGCUUCACAAAAGCAGCUAUCAGCAUCUGCUGUAGAUUUUCCUCAGAUUAAUGAGAGUUACACUGGCAGGUAUGUCUUUA